rnacentral:rRNA from 1 species
GCAAGUCGAGGGGUAACAGGGAAAAGCUUGCUUUUUUGCUGACGACCGGCGCACGGGUGCGUAACGCGUAUAGAAUCUACCUUGUACUGAGGGAUAGCCCAGAGAAAUUUGGAUUAAUACCUCAUGGUAUGUAUAGAUGGCAUCAUCCAUACAUUAAAGGUUACGGUAUAAGAUGACUAUGCGUCCUAUUAGCUAGAUGGUGUGGUAACGGCACACCAUGGCAACGAUAGGUAGGGGCCCUGAGAGGGGGAUC